UACGAGUGGUGCAAGCGUUAUUCGGAAUUAUUGGGCGUACAGGGUGUGUAGGCGGUAUGUUAAGUCUGUUGUUAAAGACUUCGGCCUAACCGGAGAAAGGCAACGGAAACUGGCAUACUAGAGGGUGGAAGAGAGAAGUGGAAUUCUCGGUGUAGCGGUAAAAUGCGUAGAUAUCGAGAGGAACACCGAUGGCGAAGGCAGCUUCUUGGUCCAUUCCUGACGCUGAGACACGAAAGCGUGGGGAGCAAACAGGAUUAGAUACCCUGGUAGUCCACGCUGUAAACGAUGAUCACUAGACGUUGGUUUUGUUUAACAGAAUCAGCGUCGCAGCUAACGCGUUAAGUGAUCCGCCUGGGGACUACGGUCGCAAGAUUAAA
rnacentral:rRNA from 1 species